CAGCAGCCGCGGUAAUACGAAGGGUGCAAGCGUUACUCGGAAUUACUGGGCGUAAAGCGUGCGUAGGUGGUGGUUUAAGUCCGUUGUGAAAGCCCUGGGGUCAACCUGGGAAUUGCAGUGGAUACUGGGUCACUAGAGUGUGGUAGAGGAUAGUGGAAUUUCCGGUGUAGCAGUGAAAUGCGUAGAGAUCGGAAGGAACAUCUGUGGCGAAGGCGGCCCCCUGGACAAAGACUGACGCUCAGGUGCGAAAGCGUGGGGAGCAAACAGGAUUAGAUACCCGGGUAGUCCCUGUCUCUUAUAC
rnacentral:rRNA from 1 species